AACAUCAAGUUUGGUGUUUAUGACGUCGAUAUACGACGUCAUAAACAACACCAAAUUUGGUGUUGAUGACGUCGAUGUUGGACGUCAUAAACACCAUCAAGUUUGAUGUUUAUGGCGUCGAUAUGCGGCGUCAUAAACACCAUCAAGUUUGGUGUUUAUGACGUCGAUAUUCGACGUCAUAAACACCAUCAAAUUUGGUGUUGAUGACGUCGAUAUACGACGUCUUAAACACCAUCAAGUUUGAUGUU
rnacentral:miRNA from 1 species